CCUACGGGAGGCAGCAGUGGGGAAUAUUGCACAAUGGGCGAAAGCCUGAUGCAGCAACGCCGCGUGAAGGAAGACGGCUUUCGGAUUGUAAACUUCUUUUCUUAGUGAAGAAUAAUGACGGUAACUAAGGAGCAAGCCACGGCUAACUACGUGACAGCAGCCGCGGUAAUACGUAGGUGGCAAGCGUUGUCCGGAAUUACUGGGGGUAAAGGGAUCGUAGGCGGGAAGCCAAUUCAGUGGGGAAAAGUACGGGCUUAACCUGUAGACUGCAGUUGAAACUGGCUUUCUUGAGUGAAGUAGAGGUUGGCGGAAUUCGGAGUGUAGCGGUGAAAUGCGUAGAUAUUCGGAGGAACACCGGUGGCGAAGGCGGCCAACUGGGCUUUAACUGACGCUGAGGCUCGAAAGUGUGGGGAGCAAACAGGAUUAGAUACCCGAGUAGUC
rnacentral:rRNA from 1 species